ensembl:snoRNA SNORD42 Small nucleolar RNA SNORD42
UUCCACAAUGAUGGAAAAGAUCACUAUUGGGGGAAAAAAAUGACAUGAACAAAGAAACCACAGAUGGAA